CCUACGGGUGGCAGCAGUGAGGAAUAUUGGUCAAUGGCCGAAAGGCUGAACCAGCCAAGUCGCGUGAGGGAAGAAUGUCCUAUGGAUUGUAAACCUCUUUUAUCAGGGGGCAAAGGCACCCACGUGUGGGUGUUUGCAGGUACCUGAAGAAAAAGCAUCGGCUAAAUCCGUGCCAGCAGCCGCGGUAAUACGGAGGGUACGGGCGUUAUCCGGAUUUAUUGGGGUUAAAGGGUGCGUAGGCGGGUUUUUAAGUCUGCCGUGAAAUUCUGUGGCCCAACCACGAACGAGCGGGUGAAACUGAGGAUCUUGAGUGGGCGAGAGGUAUGCGGAAUGCGUGGUGUAGCGGUGAAAUGCAUAGAUAUCACGAAGAACCCCGAUUGCGAAGGCAGCCUACCGGAGCCCGACUGACGCUGAAGCACGAAAGCGCGGGUAUCGAACAGGAUUAGAUACCCGAGUAGUC
rnacentral:rRNA from 1 species